rnacentral:rRNA from 1 species
CUAAUUCCGUAUUCCUCCUAAGGGAGAGGGGGGGCUCCGGCUCCCGCUAUGGGAUGAGCCUAUGUCGGAUUAGCUAGUUGGUGAGGUAACGGCUCACCAAGGCAACGAUCCGUAACUGGUCUGAGAGGAUGAUCAGCCACAUUGGGACUGAGACACGGCCCGAACUCCUACGGGAGGCAGCAGUGGGGAAUAUUGGACAAUGGGCGAAAGCCUGAUCCAGCCAUGCCGCGUGUGUGAAGAAGGCCCUCGGAUUGUAAAGCACUUUCAGCGAGGAAGAACGCCUAUCGCCUAAUACCCUCUAGGAAAGACAUCACUCACAGAAUAAGCACCGGCUAACUCCGUGCCAGCAGCCGCGGUAAUACGGAGGGUGCAAGCGUUAA